GGAGUAAACAGUGCCGGAGAUCGUGGUGUUGACAAUGCCAGUAGUGAUGUUGACCUGAGUACCGGCAGUGGUGACGUUCAGCGGGUACUGCCCGUUGUUUGCAUCACCUGCCUGAGUCCGAAGAGGGUUGCUCACUGUUUCGAACUGAGGAAUGGUGACAAGCGAAGGAAGAACAUGGAAUUGCACAAGGGCAACCUUCUGCUGGUCGGUGAGGGAGUUGAGGGUGCCGGAGGAGAGGCUGGAGAAGGCGUUGUCGGUGGGGGCGAACAGAGUCAUGCCAUUGUUGGAGUUGUUGAGCUGCUGAUCGAUUUGGUUGGCAAC
rnacentral:misc_RNA from 1 species